AAACAGCCUUUUCCCCCAACAGCAGCAUAACACAGCCACCCUAACAGCGAGACCAGAGAGCAACCCUCACACACCAGGACAAUGACAGAACCCUCAGAGGAAAACAGACCCACUGCAAAAAGGAGGAGUGCAGCUUCUAGAGACUCCAGGUUGUUUCAACUACAACACUUUUUUCAGCAGAUUGAGGCUUCAGGUGCCCUCAUAAUAAAGGCCACAGCCUUGGAAUCAGGAUGAAGCUGGUGCCUGAAGGAGCCAGGCACACUCAGGAGAGGGUGAGUAGCUGACUUGCUGGGAUUUGGCCCACAUAACUGGACUCACACAUUGGUUU